rnacentral:lncRNA from 1 species
UCAAGAAGUCUUCUUCAAUAACAAAGCUUCUCUUUCAUAGCUUCCUCUUCCUAGUUGAAUCUUCUGAUCUUAGUUAACGAUCUUGGGCUAGCAGAAGAUCUCUCCAACUACACCUUUCUUCAACUGUUCUCUACAACCUCUUCUCACACAAUAGCAUAAUAGCAACCAUAAUGUAGUCGUUUAAAGAGUUUUAUUAGGGGUUGAUUUUCUCCUAAUAGAUUUUAUGCUUUUCGCUAUAGUUUUUACUAUGUAGGUCAAUUGACCAAGUCAUAUUAAUGAUAUUAAGUUUUUAAUAUAAUAUUUUUUUCAUUGAAUUAUCAUCGUCAUGGUUUGCAACUAUUAACUUUCACAUGAUGCCCUAUCGAUUUCGAACUCAACACAAAGGACAACUUAAAAUGUAGAAGCUUUAGACCAUUAUUACAAGGCGCAACAUAACUUUCAAAAAUUACCAUAUUUGUCGUGUAUCUCAGAUACAUCAACUGAUCG